rnacentral:tRNA from 1 species
GGAGGAGUGGCCGAGUGGUCGAAGGCGGCGGUCUUGAAAACCGUUGGGCCGGUGACGGUCCCGGGGGUUCGAAUCCCUCCUCCUCCG